rnacentral:rRNA from 1 species
CGUAGGUGGCAAGCGUUGUCCGGAAUUAUUGGGCGUAAAGCGCGCGCAGGCGGAAAUUUAAGUCUAUCUUAAAAGUGCGGGGCUCAACCCCCGUGAUGGGAUAGAAACUGGAUUUCUUGAGUGUCGGAGAGGACAGUGGAAUUCCCAGUGUAGCGGUGAAAUGCGUAGAUAUUGGGAGGAACACCAGUGGCGAAGGCGACUGUCUGGACGAUGUCUGACGCUGAGGCGCGAAAGCCAGGGUAGUGAACGGGAUUAGAUACCCCGGUAAUCCUGGCCGUAAACGAUGGGUACUAGGUGUUGGGGGUAUCGACCCCUCCAGUGCCGGAGUUAACGCAAUAAGUACCCCGCCUGGGGAGUACGGCCGCAAGGUUG